CCUACGGGCGGCAGCAGUGAGGAAUAUUGGUCAAUGGUCGGGAGCCUGAACCAGCCAAGCCGCGUGAGGGAUGAAGGUCCAGAGUAUCGUAAACCUCUUUUGUCAGGGAACAAAGUCGGGGACGUGUCCCCCGUUGCGUGUACCUUACGAAAAAGCAUCGGCUAACUCCGUGCCAGCAGCCGCGGUAAUACGGAGGAUGCGAGGGUUAUCCGGAUUUAUUGGGUUUAAAGGGGGCGCAGGCGGGCUGUUAAGUCAGCGGUUAAAGGCCGGGGCUCAACCCCGGCCCCGCAGUUGAAACUGGCAGUCUCGAGUUGGAGAGAGGUAGGCGGAAUGCGCGGUGUAGCGGUGAAAUGCAUAGAUAUCGCGAAGAACUCCGAUUGCGAAGGCAGCAUGCCGGAUCGAAACUGACGCUGAGGCACGAAAGCGUGGGUAUCGAACAGGAUUAGAUACCCUUGUAGUC
rnacentral:rRNA from 1 species